GUAUCCUUAGCUCAGUUGGUUAGAGCAGACGGCUCAUAACCGUCCGGUCGUAGGUUCGAGUCCUACAGGGUACA
rnacentral:tRNA from 2 species